rnacentral:rRNA from 3 species
AGUGUGGACGCCAGUCUGCAUGGAGCCGUCCUUGAAAUACCACCCUUUAAUGGCUGGUGUUCUAACGUAGACCCGUGAACCGGGUUGCGGACAGUGUCUGGUGGGUAGUUUGACUGGGGCGGUCUCCUCCUAAAGCGUAACGGAGGAGCACGAAGGUUGGCUAAUCCUGGUCGGACAUCAGGAGGUUAGUGCAAUGGCAUAAGCCAGCUUGACUGCGAGCGUGACGGCGCGAGCAGGUGCGAAAGCAGGUCAUAGUGAUCCGGUGGUUCUGAAUGGAAGGGCCAUCGCUCAACGGAUAAAAGGUACUCCGGGGAUAACAGGCUGAUACCGCCCAAGAGUUCAUAUCGACGGCGGUGUUUGGCACCUCGAUGUCGGCUCAUCACAUCCUGGGGCUGAAGUAGGUCCCAAGGGUAUGGCUGUUCGCCAUUUAAAGUGGUACGCGAGCUGGGUUUAGAACGUCGUGAGACAGUUCGGUCCCUAUCUGCCGUGGGCGCUGGAGAACUGAGGGGGGCUGCUCCUAGUACGAGAGGACCGGAGUGGACGCAUCACUGGUGUUCGGGUUGUCAUGCCAAUGGCACUGCCCGGUAGCUAAAUGCGGAAGAGAUAAGUGCUGAAAGCAUCUAAGCACGAAACUUGCCCCGAG